UCCUGCAGUCGAGCGGCAGCGCGGGAGCAAUCCUGGCGGCGAGCGGCGAACGGGUGAGGAACACAUCGGAACGUACCCCGGAGUGGGGGAUAACGCCGCGAAAGCGGCGCUAAUACCGCAUAUGCUCUGAGGAGGAAAGCGGGGGACUUCGCAAGAGGCCUCGCGCUCUGGGAGCGGCCGAUGUCCGAUUAGCUUGUUGGUGAGGUAAUGGCUCACCAAGGCGACGAUCGGUAGCUGGUCUGAGAGGAUGAUCAGCCACACUGGGACUGAGACACGGCCCAGACUCCUACGGGAGGCAGCAGUGGGGAAUUUUGGACAAUGGGGGCAACCCUGAUCCAGCCAUGCCGCGUGCGGGAAGAAGGCCUUCGGGUUGUAAACCGCUUUUAGUCGGGAAGAAAAGGUUAUCCCUAACAGGGAUGACUGUUGACGGUACCGGCGGAAUAAGCACCGGCUAACUACGUGCCAGCAGCCGCGGUAAUACGUAGGGUGCGAGCGUUAAUCGGAAUUACUGGGCGUAAAGCGUGCGCAGGCGGUUCGUCAAGUCUGAUGUGAAAGCCCCGGGCUCAACCUGGGAAUGGCAUUGGAAACUGGCGGGCUUGAGUAUGGCAGAGGGGGGUGGAAUUCCGCGUGUAGCAGUGAAAUGCGUAGAGAUGCGGAGGACACGAUGGCGAAGGCAGCCCCCUGGGCCAUACUGACGCUCAGCACGAAAGCGGUGGGGGAGCAACAGGAUUAGAUACCCUGGUAGUCCACGCCCUAACGAUGCUCACUAGGU
rnacentral:rRNA from 1 species